rnacentral:rRNA from 1 species
GACAGAGGUGCCGAGCGUUAGGCGGAAUCACUGGGCUUAAAGCGUGUGUAGGCGGGUCCGUAAGUUCCUUGUUAAAUCCCCCGGCUCAACCGUGGAACUGCUUGGUAUACUGCGGGUCUUGAGCCACUUAGGGGCAAGCGGAACAAACGGUGGAGCGGUGAAAUGCGUAGAUAUCGUUUGGAACGCCAAUGGUGAAAACAGCUUGCUGGGAGUGUGCUGACGCUGAGACACGAAAGCCAGGGGAGCAAACGGG